rnacentral:rRNA from 1 species
CUUACACAUGCAGUCGAACGGAAGGCCUUUGUUAGCUUCGGCUGGCGGGGUACUCGAGUGGCGAACGGGUGAGUAACACGUGGGUGAUCUGCCCUGCACUUCGGGAUAAGCCUGGGAAACUGGGUCUAAUACCGGAUAGGACCAUCGUUUAGUGUCGGUGGUGGAAAGUUUUUCGGUGCAGGAUGAGCUCGCGGCCUAUCAGCUUGUUGGUGGGGUAAUGGCCUACCAAGGCGUCGACGGGUAGCCGGCCUGAGAGGGUGGACGGCCACAUUGGGACUGAGACACGGCCCAGACUCCUACGGGAGGCAGCAGUGGGAAAUAUUGCACAAUGGGCGCAAGCCUGAUGCAGCGACGCCGCGUGGGGGAUGAAGGCCUUCGGGUUGUAAACUCCUUUCAACCAUGACGAAGCGUGAGUGACGGUAGUGGUAGAAGAAGCACCGGCUAACUACGUGCCAGCAGCCG